CUUUACUUUUUAAAAUUUUUAUCUGGAAAUAAUUAUAGUCACAAGAAGUUGCAAAAAUCAUACAAAGAGGUCCCAUGUAAUCAUCACACUGCUUUCCCCAAUGGUAACAACUUCCAAAACUACAGUAUGAUACCAAAUUAAGAAACUUACAUAGACAGAUUGCAAUUAAUUAGACUAGACUUCCCACCCCAUUAAGGUUUCACCAGUUUUUUUUUUCACAAGAAAGUUUUUCAUAUGUAUGUGUAUAUAGUUCUGUAACAUCUCCUCACCUGCAUAGACUCAUAUAUAUGAUCACAACCAUGAUAUGGAACAGUUUCAUAGCUAUUUGGUUUUCCCUGAACCAUUUAUUGGAGAGAUUGUCUUUUCUUCACUGUAUACUAUUUCCUAACUUGUCAUAAAUUAAUUGACCAUAAGUGUGUGGAUUUAUUUCUGGCCUCUUCAUUGUCCCAUUGAUCUAUGUGCUGUUUCUGCUAUAUCCCCUCCCUCUGCCUAUACAUCCGUUAAACUCCCCUUUAAAAGCUCUUGCCCACUGGUUAUCAGUGGAGGGAGUGGGCCUUUAGACAUGAGCCCCACCCCCCCACACACCUGUUUCUGGCUUCAGAAAUAAAGCAAACUUUCCUUUCCACCAACUUUGCCUCUUUAAUGGCCUCUGAGCCUGGAGCAGCUGGAACCACUUUUUGGAAGUAUUUGGCUCCCACAUGAAGCUGUGCUCUCACGAGAUCUGGCUCCUGGGGCUUGCCCCACCAUGACACCACCAGGCUAGCCUUGAUGAGCCUGCUGCUCAUGGCUACUGGCCCCAGAGGGGUUUUGGGGGUCCUUCCUGGCUGCUGCUGAAACCAUUUGUUUGGGGAUCUUCCUUGUCUCUCCCCUGAUCGGCCCUGACUGCCAACUUCAGCUUUCCAUCGGCGGAACGGAAAAAUGCAUCUGGAUGAGUGAUGUGCCCCAGCACCAAGUCCCAUUGAUCUGUGUCCACUGAUGAGAACAUGUCUCAGCCAUCCUGCAGGCUCCAGGAGAAUGAGAAACUUGCAGGUCAGAUCCAGACCUUGAGACCUCCAGCAAGAAGGGCUGCCACAGCUGUGACCAAGAUGGCCUGUCAGAGGCUGGAGCAUCUGUUGAGGAAUGGGUGUCUUCUCUGUGGAAAUAUCCCCAUUGCUGUUUCUUGUGGGAAGCACAGCAUCACCCCAGAGAUCUGUGGUCGUCAGGAAAGGAGCUCGGCUGCAUGGACAUUCAUCUCCAUCCCCAGCGGGGACACUGCCAUCUCGCUAACUUGCUCAUCCUGAGCAGUAGGAAGCUCUAACUAAAUAAACGAAAAAGGAUGGCAGAAAAUAAUCCAUGGUGACUUAUGCAUCUUUCUCCAUCCAUAAAUAACUUUAUACUUCACUUCUGGCAGUGGAGCCGAGCCAGAGGUAAUGAGCCAUUGUGGAAAACCCAUCUGUUGCUCAUAAGGGGAAAGGCCGGAUUUAUUGAGGAAGAAUCUGGAGCGUAAGUCCUGUUAUUGUUAAUGGGAGUUGCACAUCUAAUUGGUCAUGCUGAAAAUAUGCCCCAUUAUAUUCUUUCGCUGGCCAGAUGGAUGUGCUCAGCCGCAAUGCUGAGAAGAAAAAUGUACCCAGAGAGUCUGAGAGCGGGUGUGGACACCAUGGCCAGUGGGGAACUGACAGUUCUAAUGAGGAUAGAUGGUGCUUGUCUGCCGGUUUGAUUCAAAGAUAUUUUCAAAAGAACUCAAAAGGCCCGAUACAGGUCUUCUAAAUGGGGUCACACAGUCCAGUCCCCUGGAGUGGAUGGUAUAGAAUCAGUUCAACUAGCCCCCUAGUCCCAUAAUCUGAAACACUUCUGCCUCUCAUUCCUUGGUAACGUGGCCUGUUAAUACCUAAUCAUUGCUUUGAGAUUUCCUUAAAAUGGCACUGGAUGAUAGCAAUUGAAAGUCCUGCCUCCCAGGGUCCUCUCUACUACAGUGGUGAGAAGAAAGGUGAAGAAAUCAAAGAUAGGCUAAGCUUUGCACACUGAAUUCCCCCCAAAUGUGUUCGAGUUAGAUUUGGGGCUGAGGCGCUUGACAGAGAUGAGGAACAAGAUAGUAACACAAUUUCUGGAAAAUUGCCGGUACAUAAUAAAUGUGCAUAAAGGAGAGUAAAACAAACUAACAGUGAUUAGGAAAAUCCUAGCACACUCUAGCCGGGAGGGGCCUGGGAGAUAUUUAUUAGCCGGAUAGGUAACUGCAAAACUAACAAUCCCCAGUUCAGUUCAGUGAUAAAGAUAUUUGGGUUGUGUGUUCAGAUUUUGGUCCAAUGCAGAAGUGAGGAGGGGUGUGUGGUGGGGGAAGUGUAUGCCCCACAUGUCCUUCUCCAUCCUGUAAGCCCAUCAACAUCCUUGGGGGCCUCAAGGUCACCAUGAAGUGGAAAAAGAGUAAGGAAGGGGAUCCUGGCCAAGGCUUGGAUUGAGAUGCUCCAUUGUCAACCCUUCCCCUGGCCCAAACUUGGUCCUUUGGUAUAAAAUGAUGGAGCAGAAGCUAGGAAAUAUAGUCUUCCCAUAUGCCCAGGAGGAAAAUGAGCUGGAUUUGGUGAACACGGGACUGUUACUGUCUCUGAGGCCCUUUAAUCUGAUCUUUCCUUUCACCCUGGAACUGGGUGAUUUUCAGCAAGUCACAUGGCUGUUUGGUGACAGGACAAGAACUCUGAUUUCCUACUUUCUGUCAUGAUUGCAUGGUGCACAGUGAGGCACAAAUGGGAGGAGGCAGCAGGACACCCUGUGAAGAACCCUGGAGAGGGGAGAGGAUACCCAGAUUUGUGGUCCUGGCUUUGUCACGAGCUCGGCUAGUCACUCACAUGCCUCAGUUUCCCUGUCUAUAACGUGAGAAAUUUGAAGAAAUGAUUGUGGAAAUCCUUUCAAGCUCUCAUAUCUCUACUUCUUGAGACAUUAGGAAGAAGAAAUCAAAAUUAUGAGAAAAGAGAAGAGUCUAAAACCAGGAAAUCAGUGUGAGGUGAGGGGUCAUGAUAAAGCAGAAGAAAGCAGGAUGCAGCCUCCUGGGCAUCUCAGCUCAUGGACGGCAGACAGGUGUGUCCCCUACAAUGACUAGGGAUCAGGGGCCUCUCCCUGGGUUGACCUGGGAACAGGCUUCUUCCUAGAGUGACCAUGAAUCAUGGGCAUCUUCCUGGGGUGACCAGGGUUCAGGGGCACCUUCCUGCUGUGACCAGGGGCAUCUUCAUGGAGUCCAUUCUCCCUCCCGUUGCCUCUCACCGCCCCACCCAAGCUAAGCCAGUAUCCAUCCCACCCAGGGACCACAGUGCAGGCACUCACUACCUGAUUGUCAUAGGUUAGAAAGCAGCCUGACCAAGGGCGGGAUCAAAGGACUAACAGUGGGGGUGGCUGGGCAGAUGCCCCCUUUUCCUCACUCAGGAGUCCCAUCUCUCACUCAGCUUCAAGUGUGCAAACUGCAGCAGCAUACUGAAGUGACUCUCUAGGGGCCUUCAUUAACUACCGGAGGCCAGCCAAGCCCCAGAGACUGUCUCCACUCGGGGGUGAUAACAGCCUGCACAACAAAGCCGCCAGCAGCAGCCUGAAAUCCUUUUUCAAUUCUGCCCGCUUUAGCUUGCUCAUAGGGUAAAGGGAUCAAUUUCUGAAAUCAGCCUUUCCCUUCAACACAACCAAGUGGCAGCCAGAGCAUAAACAGAGGUAAUCCUUCAAGGAGCAGCACUUCAGGCUCACAGAGCGCUUUCAUCUCAGGAUGCUAAAGUCCUUUUCAAUCAUGAAGCGCUUUCUCUAAGCCCUGGCUCUCAGGACCAGGCAGAAGCAACGGCUGUGAAGUCAAGGGUAGGGGCCAGGCUCCUGAAGGCACAGGAGCACCCUUGCAUUUCCAUCUUCUACCAAGUUUCCUUAAAUAUCAUGAACAGAAACAAUCUUGCUUGAGAUAAUGGAUACUGAAAUAAUAGACAGCAUUUCUGAAACCUAAGAGGGAGCAAUUAUGAGCUAGGAAAUCUGGAAAUAUGGUUUACUCACCUGAACUCCUCUCCCCCACCCUCAAUGGCAGUGCUGGCUUGGGAUCAAUGGCUUUAUGAUAUCAGGGUCAUGCUAUCCUCACCUUUGCCUGGGUUAAGGAGGCAACACUUUCUAAUCAUUAUGAGAGACCCAGGUGCCAUAACCUUUGACUGAAAACUCUCAAACAGGUUUAUAUUUGUGGAGGGUAUAAACUUGAUGCAAAAUCAGGUGUAGUAGAAAUAAUCACAAUUCCCUUUUUGCGGGAGU